CCUACGGGAGGCAGCAGUGGGGAAUAUUGGACAAUGGGGGGAACCCUGAUCCAGCGACGCCGCGUGAGUGAAGAAGUAUUUCGGUAUGUAAAGCUCUAUCAGCAGGGACGAAACAAGUGACGGUACCUGACUAAUAAGCCCCGGCUAACUACGUGCCAGCAGCCGCGGUAAUACGUAGGUGGCAAGCGUUAUCCGGAUUUACUGGGUGUAAAGGGCGCGUAGACGGCGAUGCAAGUCUGAUGUGAAAGGCGGGGGCCCAACCUCCGGACUGCUUUUGAAACUGUAUGGCUUGAGUGCAGGAGAGGCAAGUGGAAUUCCUAGUGUAGCGGUGAAAUGCGUAGAUAUUAGGAGGAACACCAGCGGCGAAGGCGGUCUACUGGACUGUAACUGACGCUGAGGCGCGAAAGCGUGGGGAGCAAACAGGAUUAGAUACCCGGGUAGUC
rnacentral:rRNA from 1 species